CCCUCCCUCUGGCGGCAUGCCUAACGCAUGCAAGUCGAACGAGACCUUCGGGUCUAGUGGCGCACGGGUGCGUAACGCGUGGGAACCUGCCCUUAGGUUCGGAAUAACUCCCCGAAAGGGGUGCUAAUACCGGAUAAUGUCUUCGGACCAAAGAUUUAUCGCCUUUGGAUGGGCCCGCGUUGGAUUAGCUAGUUGGUAGGGUAAAAGCCUACCAAGGCGACGAUCCAUAGCUGGUCUGAGAGGAUGAUCAGCCACACUGGGACUGAGACACGGCCCAGACUCCUACGGGAGGCAGCAGUGGGGAAUAUUGGACAAUGGGCGAAAGCCUGAUCCAGCAAUGCCGCGUGAGUGAUGAAGGCCUUAGGGUUGUAAAGCUCUUUUACCCGGGAUGAUAAUGACAGUACCGGGAGAAUAAGCUCCGGCUAACUCCGUG
rnacentral:rRNA from 1 species